AGAGUGACGGUACCUGCAGAAGAAGCACCGGCUAACUCCGUGCCAGCAGCCGCGGUAAUACGGAGGAUCCAAGCGUUAUCCGGAAUCAUUGGGUUUAAAGGGUCCGUAGGCGGUCUGGUAAGUCAGUGGUGAAAGCCCAUCGCUCAACGGUGGAACGGCCAUUGAUACUGCUGGACUUGAAUUAUUAGGAAGUAACUAGAAUAUGUAGUGUAGCGGUGAAAUGCUUAGAGAUUACAUGGAAUACCAAUUGCGAAGGCAGGUUACUACUAAUGGAUUGACGCCGAUGUCGACGCGGCCG
rnacentral:rRNA from 1 species